rnacentral:rRNA from 1 species
AUGGCCGCAUCACCAUGGAUUUCAUCGGUAUCGUCCUUUGGCGCCGAGGCGGUGCUCAAGGAGGGAGCGAGGUACGUGGUGGUGCCGGGGCAGCUGCCGACGGGGUGCAUUCCCAUCGUCCUGACGCUGUACGCGAGCCCCAACAAGCGGCACUACGACCGCCGGACCGGGUGCCUCAGAAAAUACAACGCGCUCGCGCGCUACCACAACGGAGUGCUGUUCGAGGCCCUGUAUCGGCUCCGGAUCAAGUACCCCGCGGCGAAGAUCGUCUACGCCGACUACUACGCGCCGCUCAUCGACUUCCUCAAGAAACCAAAGAAGUUCGGGUUCAGUGCUUCGUCGAAGCUCCGGGUUUGCUGUGGCGCCGGCGGGCCGUACAACUACAACAUGACGGCGGCGUGCGGGUUUCCCGGCGCGACCGCGUGCGCUAACCCCGCCGCGCACGUCAACUGGGACGGCAUCCACCUGACGGAGCCGGCGUACGAGCGCAUCGCCGCCGGUUGGCUCUGGGGCCCGUACGGGCACCCGCCUAUUCUCAAGGCCAUGCGUCAGUAA